rnacentral:pre_miRNA from 1 species
AUGGAAAUCACAAGGAGAUCUUGUUAGAUGCAGAUUCUGACUCCGUCUGUCUGAGGUGGUGGAGAUGCUGAAUUACCAACAAGCUCCCAGGAGACGUGAUU